AACUCUCAAAAGCCAUUACCAAAAUGGUAUUUUUUUCCUCCUUCCGCCAGUCAGGGAGAAUUUUUAAAAAUAAUAAUCAAAACAUGAAAAAACAUAAUCACACCUGUAUUUUAUCAUGACAGCUUCAGAGAGUGUGUGUGUACGUUUCUCUCUCUUUUAUUUGAGACGGAGUUUCACUCUUGUUGCCCAGGCUGGAGUGCAAUGGUGCGAUCUCAGCUCACUGCAACCUCCGCCUCCUGGGUUCAAGCGAUUCUCCUGCCUCAGCCUCCCAAGUAGCUGGGAUUACAGGCGCCCACCACCAUGCCCAGCUAAGUUUUGGUAUUUUAGUAGAGAUGGGGUUUCACCAUGUUGGCCAGGCUGGUCUUGAACUCCUGACCUUAGGUGAUCCACCCACCUCGGCCUCCCAAAGUGCUGGGAUUACAGGCAUGAGCUACUGCGCCCAGCCGUGUGUAUGUUUCUGAAAUGAUGAUAGGGUGGGGUUAAAAUCUAAAGGGAAAAACUUGAAACUACCUAUUUUCAUUGGUUAUUCAGCAGUGCCUAAAAUGAGCUUUUGAAGUAAUGUAAAAGCACUUUCAAUUCAUGUGUAUAGUGCCAUCUGAUAUCUUGGGUAAGUCUUGCUUUUUCUUUUCUUUUUCCUCUCCCCUGCCCCCUUAAUUCAAUGGCACGGAAAUGUUUCUUAAUAUGCACGUGAGUCUCCAGAGUACAGGAAAUGUGCUUUCCUCUAAAUGGUCAAUGUAAAGAAUCUUAAGGAUAUUUCUUGUGUUGAAAUUUACAUUCGAUUUUGUGAUUACACUUGGAAAUAUGUGUUAAAUUGGGUUUUUAAUUGUAGCCCAAAGGUGCAUUAAACAAGUGUAACAUUUUUUCCACAUAAAACUUAGAAAACUUUAGUUACCUGAAAAGCAAGGAUUCUUUACUAAUUAUUAUGCUCAUUCUUGAUUUGACUUCCAUGAUCACACUUCAAAGUGUAAGAGGAAGCACUAGAAACUGGCAUUAUUGUUGCACUAAAAAAGUCUAUAAAUCAUAAUAGCACCAUGAGGUGUUUUGCAAUGAGACAAACAUAAAGAAUGAAUUUCUUUAAGAAAGAAACACAACCUGAGGUGAUUUAUAUAAACCAAAAGAAAAAAAAAGGCUUUAAGAUAUUAGGUACUGUUUGCCUAGCAGCCAGGUGGUUAUAAAAGAUUCAUAUGCUUUGGUACACUGAUAAAUGUUAGCCAUUAUUCCUGAAAGCUUCUUAAAUUGCAUCAGUUGUUAGUUUUGAAAUUUUUUCAAGAAUAAACUAGUUGAAAAGUCUUUGUAUUAAAAAUACACAUAGAUUUUUGUGAACAUUUCCAGUGUGUAGUGUCGUUUGCUUUCUAUUUCUGACCUCAAAAGUGCCUCACUUGUAUAUUAUUUCCAUUAAAAGCUUGACUGCAUUCUUUCUGAUGAACAAUGAAAAACUGUUUAACUCAUGUCAUAAUGUGUCUCCUCAGAUAUAGUUAACUAGCUUGAUAGUUUUGAGUAUAUAAUGUAAAUAAUACAUUAUAAGUUUGUAACCAUUUCUGUUACUUCAUACCCGUGUAAUUGGACAUAGCAGAUGAUUAUCAUAAGAUUUUGUUUUAAUGGUUUUUUUCCCUCCUGGAAUUACCUGAUUAAACCUGUCAUGAAUUAUCAAAGGACUUUUUCUUAUUCUCCUAGAGCUUAUCAAAUUAUCACAUAAGAGAUAAUUACUGGAGGAGAAAGCAAAAAUGGAAGCUUUUGAUAAUUAGCUCUGUUCUUUAAAAGUAUACUUUUAAACUGAAAGUUCACAUAUAGUUCAUCUUAAUAACAUAUUUAUUCAUCCUUAAUUGUAUUCAGAUUAUUUUUUAAGUCUCUAAGCUAAUAAUGUUAUAUUUAUUGGUUUGGUAACAUGUUGCAGCUAAGCUAAUGACCUUAAGUGGCAAUUGUUUAACCCAGGACUACUGAUUUUUUUAUAUUCAAGUCAGUUUCAUCGUUUUACUUAACUCGCCAUAUAAACAAAAAAUAAUGAAUAAUCUAAAUGAAAGGUUAUUAGGACAGUAAUAAAAAAUUAUAGUGUAUCUCAACACUAGAAUAAGUUGGAUUACUAUAUUAUAGUUUAUUUGAAAAAUCAAGGAGUAACUGUAUCUUUACCAUUAAUUAUGAAAUGUAGUCUCAUGUGCUUAUUUACAGGUUUUUCAGAAUUUGCUUUACAUUCUUCACAUCAAGUUAAUACCCACAAAGACAAGGUGUUGCUGUGUUACCCAAGCUAGUUUCGAACUCCUGGGCUCAAGCAAUCCUUCUACUUCGACCUCCCCAAAGUGCUGAGAUGACUGGCAUGAGCCACCGCACCCGGCCAGGACUACUACUGAAACAUGUUUCCCACAAUGAGAUUAGUAUUCUCUCAAAAUUACUGGUUCUGUUAACCUGGAAAUAAUUUAUAAUAACCAAGAUGCUAUGUGCAAUUAGGAAGAAAGGAGGACAAAGAAUUCCAGAAUAUUCAGUAUUGAAAUGUCAAGACUAUUAUCUCAACAAUAAAAUUUAAAUUAAAAUU